GACGAACGCUGGCGGCGUGCUUAACACAUGCAAGUCGAACGGAAAGGCCCUGCUUUUGUGGGGUGCUCGAGUGGCGAACGGGUGAGUAACACGUGAGUAACCUGCCCUUGACUUUGGGAUAACUUCAGGAAACUGGGGCUAAUACCGGAUAGGAGCUCCUGCUGCAUGGUGGGGGUUGGAAAGUUUCGGCGGUUGGGGAUGGACUCGCGGCUUAUCAGCUUGUUGGUGGGGUAGUGGCUUACCAAGGCUUUGACGGGUAGCCGGCCUGAGAGGGUGACCGGCCACAUUGGGACUGAGAUACGGCCCAGACUCCUACGGGAGGUAGCAGUGGGGAAUAUUGCACAAUGGGCGGAAGCCUGAUGCAGCAACGCCGCGUGCGGGAUGACGGCCUUCGGGUUGUAAACCGCUUUCGCCUGUGACGAAGCGUGAGUGACGGGAAUGGGUAAAGAAGCACCGGCUAACUACG
rnacentral:rRNA from 1 species